rnacentral:lncRNA from 1 species
CUCCUCCUUUAUUUCCAAUAUUCCCAUUUUUUGGUUUUCUAUCAAUUCCAAUAUGAACAUACAUUUAGUAUGUUAAGAACAUUCAAGUAAGGAGCCUGUAAUUCAGUGGUUGUUGUUUGUUUAUGUGUUUCAUAUUUGUUUUUCGUUCAUUUUUUUGUACAUAAAUAAGGCCGCUAGUUUUCUGGUUUGAAUUGUUUUACAUUGUCAGUUCGGGGCCUUUUAAAGCUGAGUAUGGGCUUUGCUCGUUGUUGAAGGUCGUACGGUAACCUAUAAUUGUUAAUAUCUGUGUCAUAUUGGUCUCUUGUGGAGAGUUGUCUCAACAUGGCAAUCAUACCACAUCUUCUUUUUUUGUAAUCAAUGAUUUUUGUAAAAGAUUUAAUGACUGGAGAAUUUCAGAAAAGGUAUCAAAAGUUCACAUGAAUAUUUUUAGCGCUUAUCUGUAUAUUAUGAACAUUCAUUACUAUAUAAAUAUAGUGUACAUGUAUUUACUUUACUAAUCGAUCCAUAGUGGUCAUUGAUAUAGUAUACAGAC